UGUGAGCUCGAUGAGUAGGGCGGGACACGUGGUAUCCUGUCUGAAUAUGGGGGGACCAUCCUCCAAGGCUAAAUACUCCUGACUGACCGAUAGUGAACCAGUACCGUGAGGGAAAGGCGAAAAGAACCCCGGCGAGGGGAGUGAAAAAGAACCUGAAACCGUGUACGUACAAGCAGUGGGAGCACGCUUAGGCGUGUGACUGCGUACCUUUUGUAUAAUGGGUCAGCGACUUAUAUUCUGUAGCAAGGUUAACCGAAUAGGGGAGCCGAAGGGAAACCGAGUCUUAACUGGGCGUUAAGUUGCAGGGUAUAGACCCGAAACCCGGUGAUCUAGCCAUGGGCAGGUUGAAGGUUGGGUAACACUAACUGGAGGACCGAACCGACUAAUGUUGAAAAAUUAGCGGAUGACUUGUGGCUGGGGGUGAAAGGCCAAUCAAACCGGGAGAUAGCUGGUUCUCCCCGAAAGCUAUUUAGGUAGCGCCUCGUGAAUUCAUCUCCGGGGGUAGAGCACUGUUUCGGCAAGGGGGUCAUCCCGACUUACCAACCCGAUGCAAACUGCGAAUACCGGAGAAUGUUAUCACGGGAGACACACGGCGGGUGCUAACGUCCGUCGUGAAGAGGGAAACAACCCAGACCGCCAGCUAAGGUCCCAAAGUCAUGGUUAAGUGGGAAACGAUGUGGGAAGGCCCAGACAGCCAGGAUGUUGGCUUAGAAGCAGCCAUCAUUUAAAGAAAGCGUAAUAGCUCACUGGUCGAGUCGGCCUGCGCGGAAGAUGUAACGGGGCUAAACCAUGCACCGAAGCUGCGGCAGCGACGCUUAUGCGUUGUUGGGUAGGGGAGCGUUCUGUAAGCCUGCGAAGGUGUGCUGUGAGGCAUGCUGGAGGUAUCAGAAGUGCGAAUGCUGACAUAAGUAACGAUAAAGCGGGUGAAAAGCCCGCUCGCCGGAAGACCAAGGGUUCCUGUCCAACGUUAAUCGGGGCAGGGUGAGUCGACCCCUAAGGCGAGGCCGAAAGGCGUAGUCGAUGGGAAACAGGUUAAUAUUCCUGUACUUGGUGUUACUGCGAAGGGGGGACGGAGAAGGCUAUGUUGGCCGGGCGACGGUUGUCCCGGUUUAAGCGUGUAGGCUGGUUUUCCAGGCAAAUCCGGAAAAUCAAGGCUGAGGCGUGAUGACGAGGCACUACGGUGCUGAAGCAACAAAUGCCCUGCUUCCAGGAAAAGCCUCUAAGCAUCAGGUAACAUCAAAUCGUACCCCAAACCGACACAGGUGGUCAGGUAGAGAAUACCAAGGCGCUUGAGAGAACUCGGGUGAAGGAACUAGGCAAAAUGGUGCCGUAACUUCGGGAGAAGGCACGCUGAUAUGUAGGUGAAGUCCCUCGCGGAUGGAGCUGAAAUCAGUCGAAGAUACCAGCUGGCUGCAACUGUUUAUUAAAAACACAGCACUGUGCAAACACGAAAGUGGACGUAUACGGUGUGACGCCUGCCCGGUGCCGGAAGGUUAAUUGAUGGGGUCAGCGCAAGCGAAGCUCUUGAUCGAAGCCCCGGUAAACGGCGGCCGUAACUAUAACGGUCCUAAGGUAGCGAAAUUCCUUGUCGGGUAAGUUCCGACCUGCACGAAUGGCGUAAUGAUGGCCAGGCUGUCUCCACCCGAGACUCAGUGAAAUUGAACUCGCUGUGAAGAUGCAGUGUACCCGCGGCAAGACGGAAAGACCCCGUGAACCUUUACUAUAGCUUGACACUGAACAUUGAGCCUUGAUGUGUAGGAUAGGUGGGAGGCUUUGAAGUGUGGACGCCAGUCUGCAUGGAGCCGACCUUGAAAUACCACCCUUUAAUGUUUGAUGUUCUAACGUUGACCCGUAAUCCGGGUUGCGGACAGUGUCUGGUGGGUAGUUUGACUGGGGCGGUCUCCUCCUAAAGAGUAACGGAGGAGCACGAAGGUUGGCUAAUCCUGGUCGGACAUCAGGAGGUUAGUGCAAUGGCAUAAGCCAGCUUGACUGCGAGCGUGACGGCGCGAGCAGGUGCGAAAGCAGGUCAUAGUGAUCCGGUGGUUCUGAAUGGAAGGGCCAUCGCUCAACGGAUAAAAGGUACUCCGGGGAUAACAGGCUGAUACCGCCCAAGAGUUCAUAUCGACGGCGGUGUUUGGCACCUCGAUGUCGGCUCAUCACAUCCUGGGGCUGAAGUAGGUCCCAAGGGUAUGGCUGUUCGCCAUUUAAAGUGGUACGCGAGCUGGGUUUAGAACGUCGUGAGACAGUUCGGUCCCUAUCUGCCGUGGGCGCUGGAGAACUGAGGGGGGCUGCUCCUAGUACGAGAGGACCGGAGUGGACGCAUCACUGGUGUUCGGGUUGUCAUGCCAAUGGCACUGCCCGGUAGCUAAAUGCGGAAGAGAUAAGUGCUGAAAGCAUCUAAGCACGAAACUUGCCCCGAGAUGAGUUCUCCCUGACUCCUUGAGAGUCCUGAAGGAACGUUGAAGACGACGACGUUGAUAGGCCGGGUGUGUAAGCGCAGCGAUGCGUUGAGCUAACCGGUACUAAUGAACCGUGAGGCUUAACC
rnacentral:rRNA from 1 species